UAAUUUGUUGGUUUACGGAUUUUCCCCAUGAGAAAGUCAGGUCGGUCGGUCGGGGAAAAAAAAGAAAAAAAAGAUCUUUCAAGACAGAAAAAUAUUCAAAAUAAAUAUAUAUUUCGCCUUUCUAACAAUAUGUUUGUUAUGCUAUUUUGUCAUCAUUUCUCAGAUUUCAGUUCGAUGAAAUUUUAUUGCUCAGCUGUCAUAAACAUCGCAUGACAUUCUAAUAAUUUCCCGUAAAAAAGGGGGGUGCACGGACAAAGACGAAAUUAAAUCGUCAUUUCACAAACAAGAAAAACAGAUUCGUGUAGCUCUUAAUCAAUUCCAGAAAACUUGGUGAAUUAUGAUCUUCAAGCACGAAAACUGAUAAAGAAAAAAUUUUUAAAAA
rnacentral:lncRNA from 1 species